rnacentral:rRNA from 1 species
UACGUAGGGUGCAAGCGUUGUCCGGAAUUAUUGGGCGUAAAGAGCUCGUAGGCGGUUCGUCACGUCGGCUGUGAAAUCCCGAGGCUCAACCUCGGGUCUGCAGUCGAUACGGGCGGACUUGAGUACUGCAGGAGAGACUGGAAUUCCUGGUGUAGCGGUGAAAUGCGCAGAUAUCAGGAGGAACACCGGUGGCGAAGGCGGGUCUCUGGGCAGUAACUGACGCUGAGGAGCGAAAGCGUGGGGGAGCGAACAGG